UACGGAGGGUGCAAGCGUUAUCCGGAUUCACUGGGUUUAAAGGGUGCGUAGGAGGGCAGGUAAGUCAGUGGUGAAAUCCCCGAGCUUAACUUGGGAACUGCCGUUGAUACUAUCUGUCUUGAUACCGUGGAGGUGAGCGGAAUAUGUCAUGUAGCGGUGAAAUGCUUAGAUAUGACAUAGAACACCAAAUUGCGAAGGCAGCUCGCUACACGAAUAUUGACUCUGAGGCACGAAAGCGUGGGGAUCAAACAGG
rnacentral:rRNA from 1 species